UAACAAUUCAAGAAAACAAACAACGAUGGAUACUCAUCAACGUCCUCUCUUCCUCAUCACCACCUUCCUCCUCCUCCUCCUUCACCACCCCACCUCCACCCAUUCCCUCAUUGACCCCACCACCUACUCCACCCCGUCCGCCGCUCCCACCACCACCUCGGCUCCCACUCCCCCUGCCACCACCACCACUUACCCCACCAAUAAAGACACCGAAUUCAUCCGUUCAAGCUGUGCAUCCACCCGGUACCCCGACGAAUGCUACAACUCCCUCUCGGGCUACGCCAGCGCUGUACAACAAAACCCUGCUCGGCUAGCGCGUGUAGCCAUAGCCGUGAGCCUCUCCGGAGCCAGACUGGAAGCCACUUACUUCUCGAACUUAUCGAAAGAAGCAGACUACGGGGCCGACCAUCGAGUCUCAGCCGCUAUUCACGACUGCUUCUCCACCUUCGGCGACGCUGUGGACCAGCUUCGCGGCUCGCUCAACCAGAUGCGCCACCUCGUCCCGGCUGGCUCCAGCGAGACGUUUAGGUUUCAGAUGAG
rnacentral:lncRNA from 1 species